AGAACGUUAAUGUGCAGCUGCGUGGUUUUGGAGGCCGGCCUAAACUUUGUAUUUGUGUGGAAGGAAGGAAGGAAUAACUUGAAGCGGAAACAAUAAUAUAAAUGAGUUAUGGUCUGGAUUGAAGUGUCAGAGUUUCGGGUUUCCUUGGUGAACGAGGAUCAUCUCCGGACUACACAGCAACAACUCGUGCUGUUUCCAUCAUCGCUGUCCGUGUUAGCUCGUGAGGUCUACAGCCUCGGACAGAGGCCGAGUCUUUGUGAUCAAGGGAAGGUCAGUACGCCAGGAUUGCCGGAUGAGCUGCACGUGUCUCCAUCCUCGUUCCGAGAGCAAUAAAUUGUGGAUUCCUCCGGUGUUUAUGGUUUCAGAAAGAAGGUACUAAAUCUUCUCGAGAUUCCAAGAGCUGAAACAUGUAUGUGACAUAUCACGUAUAUAAAGAUCCACAUUUACGCAAUAUUAAUGGCUUUGUAACCUCUUCAACUGGACGUCAGUCAGAGCCAGCCCAGAAUCUGUCUGCUAGGUUCUUCUACAGCCUUUUUUUUUACGUCGGCUCUGCGCGUUGACAAGUUGAUGGUCGCUGGAUUGAGCCCCAAGAUGUUGCUGUAUCACCUUCGCAAUUCGUACUCUGCACGUGCGAAUUCAGAAACAUGGGAUGGGCGAGACAUAUCGCACGCAUGGGUGACUGCGCGGAGUGUAUUCAAAUGGUUCAUAGAGAUCCUAAUGUUUCUGUGGCAGUGGGUUUCUUGGAGUUAGGGCUUACCGUCUAGAUUAUAAAUCCGACGUUUCGGUGACUUCCUCAAACUCCAUCAUCACUAAUGUCAUGAGUUGACAAUUUGUCGGUAGAGCUUUCUCUCUGAACACCUAAUACACUAUACGCACACAUGUAGCAUUUGUUGUUAGAGUUGCAACGUUAGUGCAAAAAUGUUCCUAAGCCAUCGUUAGAACAGACUUUCGGAAUAAUGGCGUUGAAUCACAUUUGUGCAACGCUGACCUACGUCAUGUGACGUGAAGAACGCCAGUGCACUCCAAACAGCGCUCCUUUCCAAUCUGUACUCAAUUUUGAACGUGAUGGUGCGGACUAGUUAGAAGAUUGAUUUUCUCGAUUAAUCGUGAGUCGGAACAUCGAAAGGGCCUGACUGAGAGCACAAGAGGGUGAUGACGUCAGCUUAGCCACUGCUGUGGAUUCACGCGUUUUGCAUUCAUCCUUAUCGCUGGUCACCAAACUAACAAAUCAGCUUUAACGUGGCUCUGUGAGUAAGCGGAAGACCUCGUAGGGCCACUUUGUGGUCGGUCACUUUAUGAGGGGCAUAAAACCCUUCCCCGGAGGGAAGGAGCAAACUUCCAGCCGGAGCGGACUCAUUUUAAGUCCUCACUGGAGAGCAGACCGGCCUUCUGCGUACGACCGGAUUUAAAGUUGGGCCUUGAACGUGGGAGGGAGCGCAGAGCCUUCAGUCAGUCAGGGCUCUUGGGCGCGGUGAAUCUAAUUACGGAAGUUGAUGUAUAAAUCUCGGAGAUUAUAUGAAAACACGCGAAUUCGAGACUCCGUGUUACUGGGCGGGAAAAAGAGAUGAACUGAGGUCCCCCCAUACUUUGACGCAGCUCGUGCUCAAAUAUAGUUUGCGUCCAAUAUUUUCGUCUUCACGUUUUCAGUUUAGCGAUGCUGAAGUUUCAGAAUCGGUACAGAAGGCGUACCCAAACUCACCUUGUUAACGGAAGGGACCCUAGAGACCGAGUUUCAGGCAUUAAAUACGACACGAUUCAAAAUUUCACUUAAAUUGGUUUCGGUUUAAUGUUUCCGAUGUGCUGACAGUCGGACACAAUGACGAGAGGAUGGAGAAAAUUACGUAACGAAGAGCUUCAUAAGUUCAUCUUCACGAAAUGCUCUCACAGCGACGAUGUUAGGAAGGACGCGAGAGGAAAUAAGAAAUGCGUUCAGAAUUUUUGUAAGGACGCGGAAAGGGAGAAUGAGAACAGGAAGACGAAGGGGCUGAUGGGAACGUAAUAUUAAAAAGGAUCUUGCAGAAAUACUGUGUGAAUGAGUGGACUCGCUUAAAGUGACUCAUUACAGGACACAGUGACGAUGUUUUUUGA